AGCUCCAUCCUGGAACUGUUUCCCAAGUUAUUACUCCUGGACAGCCAGGAGUCACCUUCGCCAACGAGCGUUGGUAUUGCUGCCCACAAGAGGUUACCAACCUGCAAGGGAAGCUUCUUUGGAUCUGAUGCGCUGAAGAGUCUAGUCCUGCGAUUCCUGCAGCAGUACUACUUGAUCUACGACUCUGGAGACCGUCAGGGUCUCC